rnacentral:rRNA from 1 species
UAGUAACGGCGAGUGAAGCGGGAUGAGCUCAAGCUUAAAAUCUCCGUGCAAUUUUUGCAUGGCGAAUUGUAGUCUAUAGAGGCGUGGUCAGUAUGAGCACUUAGGGUAAGUUCCUUGGAAGAGGACAGCAUCGAGGGUGAUACUCCCGUUCAUCCCUAAGUUGCUUGUGCGUACGACCCGUUUUCUUUGAGUCGCGUUGUUUGAGAAUGCAGCGCAAAGCAGGUGGUAAAUUCCAUCUAAAGCUAAAUAUUGGUGCGAGACCGAUAGCAUACAAGUACCGUGAGGGAAAGAUGAAAAGAACUUUGAAAAUAGAGUUAAAGAGUACCUGAAACUGCUGAAAGGGAACCAAAUCGUUUCCAGUGUCUAUAAUCCAUGGUAUAUUCCAUUGGCGAGCGUGUGUGUGCGUGUGCUUUUGCAGUGGCCUUUUGGUUGCGCUAGGCGUGUGUGUGCGUGUGCUUGCUGGUGCCCUGUGCUGUGGUGGGACGUCAAGGUCAGUUCGUAUGCUGCGGGAAAUGGCUACCGAGGAGGUAGGGCUUACGCUUGCGUUUGUCUGUUAUAUCUUGGUAGACGAGUAGUCGCGGUUGGGACUGAGGUGCCUAUAACGUGCUUUUGAGUGGACUUGCGUCUCUGUGUGCGCUGUGUGCGGAUAGCUUGCUAUGCGUGUGUGGCUGUGUGUGGAUUGAUGCGAGUCGUAACUUGUAGCCGUUCGGGACGUUGACGAAAUGGAACGAUUUGACCCGUCUUGAAACACGGACCAAGGAGUCUAACAUAUGUGCAAGUGUUAGGGUGUGGAAACCCCAGCGCGUAACGAAAGUAAAGGACAGCGUAAGUUGUCUGAGGUAGGAAAUGCUGCGGGCUUCGGUCUGCGGUGUGGCACUAUCGACCGAUCAUGAACCCUCGUGGUGAAAGAUUUGAGUUUGAGCACAUAUGUUGGUACCCGAAAGAUGGUGAACUAUGCCCGAGUAGGGU